UACGGGGGAUGCAAGCGUUAUCCGGAAUCAUUGGGCGUAAAGCGCCUGUAGGUUGUUUAAUAAGUCUGUUGUUAAAGACUAGGGCUUAACCCUAGAAAAGCAAUGGAAACUACUAGACUUGAGUAUGGCAGGGGUAGAGGGAAUUUCUAGUGUAGCGGUGAAAUGCGUAGAUAUUAGAAAGAACACCGGUGGCGAAAGCGCUCUACUGGACCAUUACUGACACUCAGAGGCGAAAGCUAGGGUAGCAAAAGGGAUUAGAUACCCCUGUAGUCCUAGCCGUAAACGAUGGAUACUAGAUGUUGUACUUCUUUUACAGUAUCGUAGCUAACGCGUUAAGUAUCCCGCCUGGGGAGUACGCUCGCAAGGGUG
rnacentral:rRNA from 1 species